UGAAAGAAUGACAGAAAAAUGACCAUGGAUCACAAAGGAAGUGGUGUAGUCUAAGUGAUACGCAGGUAUACGCAGUAUACCCACUAAGAAAGGUCCAGGAUUUCCAUAUACCCACU